AUGCCUCAGUACGGCGAGUGAGCGGCAAAAGCUCAAAUUUGAAAUCUAGCACCUUCGGUGUUCGAGUUGUAAUUUGAAGAUGGUAACCUUGGGUUUGGCUCUUGUCUAUGUUCCUUGGAACAGGACGUCAUAGAGGGUGAGAAUCCCGUCUGAUGAGAUGCCCAUUCCUAUGUAAGGUGCUAUCGAAGAGUCGAGUUGUUUGGGAAUGCAGCUCUAAGUGGGUGGUAAAUUCCAUCUAAAGCUAAAUAUUGGCGAGAGACCGAUAGCGAACAAGUACAGUGAUGGAAAGAUGAAAAGAACUUUGAAAAGAGAGUGAAAAAGUACGUGAAAUUGUUGAAAGGGAAGGGCAUUAGAUCAGACUUGGUGUUUUACGAUUAUCUUCUCUUCUUGAGUUGUGCACUCGUAUUUCACUGGGCCAGCAUCGAUUCGGAUGGCAAGAUAAUAGCAGUUGAAUGUGGCUUCACUUCGGUGGAGUGUUAUAGCUUCUGUUGAUAUUGCCUGUCUGGAUCGAGGGCUGCGUCUUUUGACUAGGAUGCUGGCGUAAUGAUCUAAUGCCGCCCGUCUUGAA
rnacentral:rRNA from 1 species